GUUCAUCCCAUUUGCUGCUUCAGCCCAGAAGGAACAACCAGAAAACUCAGCUCUGCUCAACCAAGAUACAAGUGUACUGAAUUUACAAGAACAGAAAAAACAACUCAUGAAUGAAAUAUCAUUGAUUUCAACAUACCAGAAGGAUUUUAUCAAAUGCCAAAUUCCACAACAAUUGAUCCUUCGAAAGCAGCACGUACAACAGGCCAAAGGAGAGUCGAAAUGUGCACCACCAACAACCUACCAGCACAGCUUUUGUGAUUCGUUUAAAAAUCCUCAGCAGUAUGACAAGAAGGAAUCAGAAAGUGAAACAACUGACAAAAAGGAGGCCAUUCCAAUAUCCUUAGAAGCACUGGUUGACAUCCCUAUCAAAAAUGUGGCAAGGAGGAAGCAGGUUACUGAGCGAUACUCUGUGGCUCAGUGCUUGAUUUGGCCUUCUUCUUUAAAGUAGCCAUAUAUUCAAAACUUGCAGAAAAAGC